GGGUUGUGAGGUUAAGCGACUAAGCGUACACGGUGGAUGCCCUGGCAGUCAGAGGCGAUGAAGGACGUGCUAAUCUGCGAUAAGCGUCGGUAAGGUGAUAUGAACCGUUAUAACCGGCGAUUUCCGAAUGGGGAAACCCAGUGUGAUUCGUCACACUAUCAUUAACUGAAUCCAUAGGUUAAUGAGGCGAACCGGGGGAACUGAAACAUCUAAGUACCCCGAGGAAAAGAAAUCAACCGAGAUUCCCCCAGUAGCGGCGAGCGAACGGGGAGGAGCCCAGAGCCUGAAUCAGUGUGUGUGUUAGUGGAAGCGUCUGGAAAGGCGCGCGAUACAGGGUGACAGCCCCGUACACAAAAAUGCACAUACUGUGAGCUCGAUGAGUAGGGCGGGACACGUGGUAUCCUGUCUGAAUAUGGGGGGACCAUCCUCCAAGGCUAAAUACUCCUGACUGACCGAUAGUGAACCAGUACCGUGAGGGAAAGGCGAAAAGAACCCCGGCGAGGGGAGUGAAAAAGAACCUGAAACCGUGUACGUACAAGCAGUGGGAGCCUCUUUAUGGGGUGACUGCGUACCUUUUGUAUAAUGGGUCAGCGACUUAUAUUCUGUAGCAAGGUUAACCGAAUAGGGGAGCCGAAGGGAAACCGAGUCUUAACUGGGCGUUAAGUUGCAGGGUAUAGACCCGAAACCCGGUGAUCUAGCCAUGGGCAGGUUGAAGGUUGGGUAACACUAACUGGAGGACCGAACCGACUAAUGUUGAAAAAUUAGCGGAUGACUUGUGGCUGGGGGUGAAAGGCCAAUCAAACCGGGAGAUAGCUGGUUCUCCCCGAAAGCUAUUUAGGUAGCGCCUCGUGAAUUCAUCUCCGGGGGUAGAGCACUGUUUCGGCAAGGGGGUCAUCCCGACUUACCAACCCGAUGCAAACUGCGAAUACCGGAGAAUGUUAUCACGGGAGACACACGGCGGGUGCUAACGUCCGUCGUGAAGAGGGAAACAACCCAGACCGCCAGCUAAGGUCCCAAAGUCAUGGUUAAGUGGGAAACGAUGUGGGAAGGCCCAGACAGCCAGGAUGUUGGCUUAGAAGCAGCCAUCAUUUAAAGAAAGCGUAAUAGCUCACUGGUCGAGUCGGCCUGCGCGGAAGAUGUAACGGGGCUAAACCAUGCACCGAAGCUGCGGCAGCGACACUAUGUGUUGUUGGGUAGGGGAGCGUUCUGUAAGCCUGUGAAGGUGUACUGUGAGGUAUGCUGGAGGUAUCAGAAGUGCGAAUGCUGACAUAAGUAACGAUAAAGCGGGUGAAAAGCCCGCUCGCCGGAAGACCAAGGGUUCCUGUCCAACGUUAAUCGGGGCAGGGUGAGUCGACCCCUAAGGCGAGGCCGAAAGGCGUAGUCGAUGGGAAACAGGUUAAUAUUCCUGUACUUGGUGUUACUGCGAAGGGGGGACGGAGAAGGCUAUGUUGGCCGGGCGACGGUUGUCCCGGUUUAAGCGUGUAGGCUGAUUUUCCAGGCAAAUCCGGAAAAUCAAGGCUGAGGCGUGAUGACGAGGCACUACGGUGCUGAAGCAACAAAUGCCCUGCUUCCAGGAAAAGCCUCUAAGCAUCAGGUAACAUCAAAUCGUACCCCAAACCGACACAGGUGGUCAGGUAGAGAAUACCAAGGCGCUUGAGAGAACUCGGGUGAAGGAACUAGGCAAAAUGGUGCCGUAACUUCGGGAGAAGGCACGCUGAUAUGUAGGUGAAGCGACUUGCUCGUGGAGCUGAAAUCAGUCGAAGAUACCAGCUGGCUGCAACUGUUUAUUAAAAACACAGCACUGUGCAAACACGAAAGUGGACGUAUACGGUGUGACGCCUGCCCGGUGCCGGAAGGUUAAUUGAUGGGGUUAGCGGUAACGCGAAGCUCUUGAUCGAAGCCCCGGUAAACGGCGGCCGUAACUAUAACGGUCCUAAGGUAGCGAAAUUCCUUGUCGGGUAAGUUCCGACCUGCACGAAUGGCGUAAUGAUGGCCAGGCUGUCUCCACCCGAGACUCAGUGAAAUUGAACUCGCUGUGAAGAUGCAGUGUACCCGCGGCAAGACGGAAAGACCCCGUGAACCUUUACUAUAGCUUGACACUGAACAUUGAGCCUUGAUGUGUAGGAUAGGUGGGAGGCUUUGAAGUGUGGACGCCAGUCUGCAUGGAGCCGACCUUGAAAUACCACCCUUUAAUGUUUGAUGUUCUAACGUUGGCCCGUKAUCCGGGUUGCGGACAGUGUCUGGUGGGUAGUUUGACUGGGGCGGUCUCCUCCUAAAGAGUAACGGAGGAGCACGAAGGUUGGCUAAUCCUGGUCGGACAUCAGGAGGUUAGUGCAAUGGCAUAAGCCAGCUUGACUGCGAGCGUGACGGCGCGAGCAGGUGCGAAAGCAGGUCAUAGUGAUCCGGUGGUUCUGAAUGGAAGGGCCAUCGCUCAACGGAUAAAAGGUACUCCGGGGAUAACAGGCUGAUACCGCCCAAGAGUUCAUAUCGACGGCGGUGUUUGGCACCUCGAUGUCGGCUCAUCACAUCCUGGGGCUGAAGUAGGUCCCAAGGGUAUGGCUGUUCGCCAUUUAAAGUGGUACGCGAGCUGGGUUUAGAACGUCGUGAGACAGUUCGGUCCCUAUCUGCCGUGGGCGCUGGAGAACUGAGGGGGGCUGCUCCUAGUACGAGAGGACCGGAGUGGACGCAUCACUGGUGUUCGGGUUGUCAUGCCAAUGGCACUGCMCGGUAGCUAAAUGCGGAAGAGAUAAGUGCUGAAAGCAUCUAAGCACGAAACUUGCCCCGAGAUGAGUUCUCCCUGACUCCUUGAGAGUCCUGAAGGAACGUUGAAGACGACGACGUUGAUAGGCCGGGUGUGUAAGCGCAGCGAUGCGUUGAGCUAACCGGUACUAAUGAACCGUGAGGCUUAACCUUACAACGCCGAAG
rnacentral:rRNA from 1 species